rnacentral:lncRNA from 1 species
CCAAAACAUGUAACUCAACCAAUUUGAGAUAUUAUCGUAGUUGAUUGGUAGGAGGGCGAGUUGCAUAUUUACGAAAAAUCUUGUAAAAAACAUUGACAUUUGUAACAAGUUAAUGUGGUUUGAAUCUCAAAUUACAUUGAUGGGCUUCCACGAGAAGAUCAUUUAUGUCCUACAGGGUAAUUACAUUGUUGGACUUCCACCCUAUGGGGUAAUU